rnacentral:rRNA from 1 species
UACGUAGGGGGCAAGCGUUGUCCGGAUUUAUUGGGCGUAAAGAGCGUGUAGGCGGCCUGGAAGGUCAGCUGUGAAAACUCGAGGCUCAACCUCGAGACGUCGGUUGAAACCACCUGGCUAGAGUCCGGAAGAGGAGUGUGGAAUUCCCGGUGUAGCGGUGAAAUGCGCAGAUAUCGGGAAGAACACCCGUGGCGAAGGCGGCUCUCUGGGACGGUACUGACGCUGAGACGCGAAAGCGUGGGGAGCGAACAGG